ensembl:lncRNA
GUCUGGUUAGGUACAAACUUCUCGAGUCCUGGGCUUUUAUUUAGGCUUUGGAAUGAAUGGGUGUUGGAGGGUGAAGCUCUGAGUAGGAUACAGGACUCUAGGCUUAAGGGCAGAGAGACAUGCAUUGGAAAGCAGCUCUGCUACUAAUUAUCUGUGUAAUCUUGGGAAAUCCACUUAAUCUUUCUGAUUCUCAGUUGUCUCAUCUAUAAAAUGGGGUUAGCUAUAGCUAUCUCAUAGUAUUGCAGUAAGAUUAUAAAUUGUGCCUAGUUACCAUGCAUAGCUGUUGGGACCUAACUCAAUAAGUGAGGGUUAAUACUAUUGCAAUAACAUGGCAGACCAGUGGCUAUGAAAACCUAUAGUGUAUAACAGACUCUCGGCAGUAAUUAGUGGUCUUUAAAUACUGUGAGACCAGAAGAGGAAGCACCUAUUGAUUCCCUAUUGAUUACUAGUAAUCUCUAUUGAUGACUGUAGCCUGCCAGGCUCCAGUAAUUGCAUGCGGGAUCCCAUUCCCUGACCAGGAAUCGAACCCAGGCCUCCUGCAUUGGGAGCGUGGAGUCUUAACCACUGGGCCACCUGGAAAGUCUUGACCAACAGCUUUUAAACGGACGAAUGAAGCUCUCGUCUCGCUUCUCUGCCAAUAUCCCUCGUCUCCCUCUUCCUGGGCAGAGCAGAGACUCCGUUUCUGAGCCUUGCACCUGGAGGUGGCCGUGAUUCAGUUCAGACCAUUAGGAUAUAAAAGGAAGUGAUGUGCAAGCUUUCUGAGUCAUCUCCAUUUAAGCUCCUCAUUUUAGGGAAGGAAUGGAGACUUAAAGGACAGACUUGUGAACACAGUGGGGGAAGGAGAGAGUGGGAUGAAUGGAACAGUCGCAAAGACGUAUACACUACCCCAUAUGAAGAAACAACCUAGCAACGUUAGGAAAGUUGCCUGAAGUCACACAACCAGGAUGUGAGGAAACAGAUCUUUCCAACUUCAGAGUUCACACUCUUCUCCUUUCCCCUCACCCCCUGUCUUGACCAGUCGCCGAGAAUUGCAGAUGCUGCUUGUCGCUGUCCACAUCAUUGCAUGUGAGCUCUAGAAGGAAGGUGGUAGCUUUGAUUUCAGGACUGUGACCCCACUGCAAAAAGUACGGGGUCUGCUCCCAAGUGCCCCAUGUCCUAAAAAUGUAGUUAGGAGGGAAUUGUUCCACUUGGAGAAACCCAGCCUGGAGAGUAAAAGCAGUGCGUCUGUCCAAUCACUGCGGAUGGGCCCGUUCCACUGUCUCCCCUGGAAAGGUGAUAAAGUCAUGGGUCUUGCCUCCUUGAGGACUUGCAGAUGUUUCCUGAGGCCAUGAGAGCAGUUUUGCUUCUUGCCAGCUCUUGUGGCUGCUGGGAAUCUAGCGCCAGGGUUCUGCUCUUGGG